rnacentral:hammerhead_ribozyme from 1 species
GUAUUGCUGAAGAGUCCCAAAAUAGUGGGACGAAACAAGUGUUCAGUAC